UAGAGAAAAUGUCAUGUUGUCUUUUCCC
rnacentral:piRNA from 1 species